GUGCAGGAUGCGGGAGGCAAAGAGAAGAGGCGGGUCGAAACGCGCAAAGCUUUCCAGAUGACCAAUCAAACCCUUCCAAAUGGCUAACCGAACCCAGUUCCCGGGAAAAAAACAGGCCGGAAGCGGAGUGUUUUUGUGGACAUCUGUUUCUUCUCUGAUCAACUCUUCUGCUAUGAAAAAUCCUUUUUAAAUGCACAGAUGAUGCACAAAUCCCAAGAUAUAUGACUGAGUGACAAUGCUGACUAAUUUAAAUGAUGACACUCCCUGUCACCCUAUCAAAAAUAUAUUUGUCCAUAAUUAUGUAUUAAAUUAUUUCCAAUAGUC